CUCAAUGAAAUUUCAAUAGCCGCAACAUAUUUGUGCUAAGGUAGCAUAAUCAUUUGUCUUUUAAUUAAAGACUAGAACAAAAGAUUUAACAUUUUUAUUUCUUUCUUAUUUAUAUUUAUUUAAUUUAUCUUAAAUAUAAAAAGAUAUUUAUUAUACAAAAAGACGACAAGACCCUAUUGAACUUAACUAAAGUUUAACUGGGGUAGUUAAUUAAAUAUAAUUUUAAUAAAAAUUUUACAAAUCACCUAAUACAAUUAAAAUAAUCAAGUUACCAUAGGGAUAACAGCGUAAUAAUUUUCUAUAGUUCUUAUUUAAAAAAUAAUUUGCGACCUCGAUGUUGAAUUAAUAUUCUAUUAAAUGCAAUAAUUAAUAAGAAAGUC
rnacentral:rRNA from 1 species